UGAUGAAGUCCGAAACGUUCGUUUCCAA
rnacentral:sRNA from 1 species